GCAUGCAUGGCAGAGCGGUCGAAUGCGGCGGGCUGCAACCCCGCAGAGUGUAUACUCCAACGUCAGUUCGAAUCUGGCUGCAUGUUCCA
rnacentral:tRNA from 1 species